AUUGAACGCUGGCGGCAGGCCUAACACAUGCAAGUCGAGCGGAUGAAGGGAGCUUGCUCCUGGAUUCAGCGGCGGACGGGUGAGUAAUGCCUAGGAAUCUGCCUGGUAUUGGGGGAUAACGUCCGGAAACGGGCGCUAAUACCGCAUACGUCCUGAGGGAGAAAGUGGGGGAUCUUCGGACCUCACGCUGUCAGAUGAGCCUAGGUCGGAUUUGCUAGUUGGUGGGGUAAAGGCCUACCAAGGCGACGAUCCGUAACUGGUCUGAGAGGAUGAUCAGUCACACUGGAACUGAGACACGGUCCAGACUCCUACGGGAGGCAGCAGUGGGGAAUAUUGGACAAUGGGCGAAAGCCUGAUACAGCCAUGCCGCGUGUGUGAAGAAGGUCUUCGGAUUGUAAAGCACUUUAAGUUGGGAGGAAGGGCAGUAAGUUAAUACCUUGCUGUUUUGACGUUACCAACAGAAUAAGCACCGGCUAACUUCGUG
rnacentral:rRNA from 1 species